AAGUAAUAGAUACACAAUUUUUACCUCUGAAGAGUAAAUUCAUAUUUUGGACCUUCAUUAAAAAAUGUAUUCAGAUAAAAAAAUAAAUUUGUGCUUAUUAGGUUAGAGACUUUUUAUCUUGGAAGCAAUCAGAGUUUGAUCAAACAGUAAAACAGGAAAUCUGUAAUAUGACAGUGUUUUUAUAAUGGAAAUUAAAAUAGACGAAAAGGCAUUUAACACAUGGACUUCUGUAUUUGAUUGCAGCUCUGGAAUCAGUAAGACAUGUUGUUUCAGGCUUAUUGCUUGGUCCUUGUUUUAAAUGAGAAUAGUAUUUGUUCUGAUUUUAGUGGGUGUCUGUUAUGGGUCCAUCCUAUUUCAAAAGAAUACAUCUCCUGCCAUAAUUCAUAAGGUUCACAAGCAUGUUGUGCAAUGAAUAAAUACUGGGUAAAUGUAUACCAAAUGGAGUUUUCUUAGUAUGGAAUAUAGCAAAUAUUUAGAAAAACUAACCAUGGCUACUUUCAGGAAAUAAAUCAUUUUUCAUGACAGCUAUCUUGAUCCUAUUUCUGUCUAAUUUCUCACUUUCAACUUUUUUUUUUACCAUACUAUUUAGUGCAAUUUGGAUUUACUUAUCAAAAUAUUUAUUGUUUUUAAUCAUAGGAUCCACUUAUAAUAGGAUAUACUUUCCAAAUUCUUGAUAUUUAAAGUAGAAAAAUAAGUUUUACUUGUUAAACCAUUCUGAGUAGAAUUUUUGAAGACUUAUCUGACUUUAAAGACAAAAGAAAUUUCAACUGAUUCCAAUUAUUUUGUGUUUUUUCUUAUGCUGUUUUUUUACUAUUCUGGGAAUAACUUUUCUUUUAUAUAAGGUACUUACUCUGUUUAGAUGCUGACAACCACAUUUUAGUGCACACAUACACACACAGUUGAGGAAAUCAGAAUAAAAGUAACUGAGGGUAUAUUUUUAACAUGUACGUGAGUUUGACAUUAAAUUGAUUAAGAUUUGAAAAUUAUUUUCAAAUAGUAUAUUUGUACUGUGUCUUUUAAAGUGGGUUUUGAGUAACUUGGUAUUUAUUUUAUGUCUAGUCAGUCUGUUACCAUCAGACCAAAACAAGAUAGAGUAUUUUUGUUUUGACAAGAACAAUGUUAAACAUUAGAUUGGUUUUGCACAUAGAAACUUGAUGGGUUCAGCUCAUUUGAAUGUAUCUAUUUGUAUUACUGGCACUAGCAAUAUGAAGAAGGAAGGAAGGAAAAAUAAAGACAGUGGUACUCCACGAGCACAUGGAUAGGUCUAGAUGGUGUCUUGCUGAUGCUGUUCCUGCAUGCCAGGUGGAUGUGAUUGGCCUUGACUGCUAGGAACACUGGCGCCUUGGCAGCUCCACUCUGUCUCUGAGUAGGCAUGGAUUGGUCCAACUCCCAAAGUUGUUGAGGUCCUUCAUACGCUGCUCUGCUUCAGUGUGAAAGUUUUGGAUUAAGAGAGAAAGUAGUAGUCUAGUCAGACAAUUCAUGGCAUAUUCUGUUCUGUAUUAAUCAUUUCUAAAAUGGCAAAGGAGCAUGAACAGUUGUUUUUUUUGUUGUUAUGAGAUGAGUAUUUAAAGGAAUGUAGGAUGUCUAACUUGGAAAAGCAGAAGUUGUAGAGCUUAAUAGACGCCGCUAUUUGAAUAGAUUGGACUUAAGGCAGUUUGGCCUGAAGUUAUAGACAAGGGCCAAGAGUUAGAUCUCAACUCAUGAAAACACAUAUUUUGACUCAUUGGGUCUCUGAAGAGACCACCUCAAAAGGAAGUUUCCAGCUCAUUGGAAAUGCAAUUUUUAUCCAUCAGUGAUACUUUAAUACAUAAAAGAGAAACUAGCAUAAAAUCUUUCUUUAAAGUAUAUCAACAUACUCUUGUAGUUUUAAAUUUGUAAGUUGGUUACACCUAGUAUUUUUUCUAUUAUAAAUUGGUAAGUCAUGGUCAAGUAUUUCUAGUAACUUCCAUUUGUCUUUGCUAUAUUUUACACUUCUAAACAGGAAUUUUUACCUCUUGUUAAACUAUUUUAGAAGAAAAAUUUAGGAUACACAGCGCUAUUUAUUUCACAUAUGUUUUUGCAUUUCUCUCUGUCAGUAUAGGAAAUGUGCUGCUUUUGUUUUAAAUGUUUCUGGCAAGAUCUAUCCAUGGAAAGCAGUUUCCUGCUCACUAGGUGGUGGCCUGCUGCUUUCCAAGUGUUCUUGUAAGGAAAUUUUAUUAGUCCAAAUGAAGCUUUUUUAGUGAUUCUGUAUUGUUUUGAACCUGAAGGUUCAUCAUCAUCCAGGUCUGUUUCUUCU